UACGUAGGGUGCGAGCGUUAUCCGGAAUUAUUGGGCGUAAAGAGCUCGUAGGCGGUUUGUCGCGUCUGUCGUGGAAAGUCCGGGGCUUAACCCCGGAUCUGCGGUGGGUACGGGCAGACUAGAGUGCAGUAGGGGAGACUGGAAUUCCUGGUGUAGCGGUGGAAUGCGCAGAUAUCAGGAGGAACACCGAUGGCGAAGGCAGGUCUCUGGGCUGUAACUGACGCUGAGGAGCGAAAGCAUGGGGAGCGAACAGG
rnacentral:rRNA from 1 species